UUUUAAGAGUUUUUUAGGAUUUUGUUUUAGGGGAUCCGGAAUAUUUCACAUUUUGCCCGAAACAAAGAAGGAAAAUUCAACGGCAGUUGUCGUUGUGGUGUGCCGCAAUUGGAUCCGAAAGUUGAUGCCACGUGCUGUUUCCGGUUUGAAUAGUGAUUACCUAACCAAGAUUUCGAUUUUUCUGAGGCCUCUCUCCCGUUUUAACACUUGUUUCCAACUCUAGGUACUUCUAAUGAACCUCACCAUUCAUUUCUGUAGAGCUUCUACUUGCCCAAAAUAUAUCCUUUCGCAAAUGGGUAGUGAAAUCGCGUGUUUGGUCGAGAAGAAGAAGUGUGCCAACUAUAGACUUGUUAAUGCUUCAAGAACUGUGUUGAUCGUACUAACAUUGCUGUAUUUUGCACCCAUUUUGAAUCAGAUUUAAGACGUAUGUAUUGCUGAUUCCAGGCAACCCAGGUAUUGUUUCAUUUUACAAUGAAAUUUUUGGAGUCACUGUAAGAGCUAUUGGGAGGGACUGCAUCUGUCACAAAACAAGAAAAGAUUGGUGUGUGUGAGUUGGCCUAGUGGUAGAGUGGUAAUGCUUGAGACCAAAGGUCUCAGGUUUUCAACUCGAUGUGGCCUUUAAAUUUAUACUAGUAUUCAUUUUCCUAUUAAAAGAAAGUAAAGAAUGUUUUUUGAUAAUCUGUUGUAUGUUUUUUCCCUUUGCAUUAAACAUAGUGUUGUAGAAUUGGGAAUUCAGUGACCAUAGAAUCUCUGUUGAUUGAUUGCCUGGUUUCCUUGCUGAAGGUAGUAGCCACAUAUCCCCUCGCAAAAGAAUUGGGAGUCUCAAAGGAUGUUCUCGUUGGAAGAACAAAUUAAUCAUAAGGUUGGCCAUCCCAUUGGUUCAUAUAUCUCUCUUGAGAUUUAGAGAUCUAGCAAGAAGGUGUGCAGUCAGCUUGCUUGUUUUUCUAAUUUGUCCUUUUUAUAUCAUAUUAUUAAUGUCUUUCUUUGACGUCUGUAUCCUACUCCUCUUUGGUUGUUGGACACUGCGUCCUCAACACAGUCAUCCAUUAGAAGACUUGCAAUGUAUAGCACGUCAUUGUGAUGAAAUACUCCUUUGAUUUCUUUAUCCCUUUGAGUCGCGUUUGCAUGUGUGCAUAACCAUGUUUAUCCAUGCAUUAUUUACAUGCGAAUUGUGUCACUGAAUGAUUGUCAUCUGUGUUCUUUAAAUAACUUGACACAGCUGCUACCAAUAGUCGAAUAACUAUUAUCUGGUCUCCAGCUCUGUGUACCACAAUUAGCUUCAUAUCAGUCUAGUUUGGAGCCCUCCCAUCGGAUAUCACAAGAUUCCUUGUAAAACUAUCCAUCGGAAAGUCAUGGUCAUCUUCCGCUGUCGAGGCUCUACUCACACAUGCUCUGAAGCUGACAAUAAAAUCUGAUUUGGAAUUCAUCAAGAGCAAGAGAAACCAGAUUGCUUUUCUUUUUGGCCUUGAUGAUCACUGGGGUCCUCUGCAUAUAUAUGAAGAGGUGGUCGUUUGUUUUCUUUGGAUGUCGAGACUGGUCUGUUGAGCACUGCAUUACUACACACAUGAGAAAACAGGUACCCGGUGCAUGUCAUGACGUUGAACACGAGGGUUACACUCAUGCUUUCUCCUGCACUGCAGCCGGUUUGAUAUGGGUUGCUUAUCUCGUCUCGAAUUUGAUCAGGAACCACCUAUAUUUGUGCUAAAAGCAGUUGACACCGGGUUUGAACCCUCUUGUUCGAGCUAAAUAUGGUACUGUCUCUUAUUUCUCUGUUUCUUCAACUCCAUCUGGAUGUGAAAGCUGAAAAAGCGGAUCUUUAGACUAAUCAGUAAUUUCUAUGUUUGCAAUACUUGAGAUACGCA